UGAGGAGGAAGACGCAGUGAACUGAAACAUCUAAGUAGCUGCAGGAAGAGAAAGCAAAAGCGAUUGCCUUAGUAGCGGCGAGCGAAACGGCAGGAGGGCAAACCGAAGAGUUUACUCUUCGGGGUUGUAGGACUGCAAUGUGGACUCAAAGACUAUAGAAGAAUGAUUUGGGAAGAUCAGCCAAAGAGAGUGAUAGCCUCGUAUUUAAAAUAGUCUUUGUACCUAGCAGUAUCCUGAGUACGGCGGGACACGCGAAAUCCCGUCGGAAUCUGGGAGGACCAUCUCCCAACCCUAAAUACUCCCUAGUGACCGAUAGUGAACCAGUACCGUGAGGGAAAGGUGAAAAGCACCCCGGGAGGGGAGUGAAAUAGAACCUGAAACCGUGUGCCUACAACAAGUUCGAGCCCGUUAAUGGGUGAGAGCGUGCCUUUUGUAGAAUGAACCGGCGAGUUACGAUAUGAUGCGAGGUUAAGUUGAAGAGACGGAGCCGUAGGGAAACC
rnacentral:rRNA from 1 species